CAAACAAAUUUGAAACGGCCUUUCACAUAGCUCAAUUAUCGUAGGCUUAGGUUCAUAAUCACCAUUUAAUUAAUUAACACUUUAACUAAUUAAAUUGAAUGCAACAUUUUCAUUUGGUUUUUGUAUCCAUAAAAUUGAUUUAAAUGGAGCUAAAUGAAAUGAAAAUCCAAUUCUCAUUUAAAGAGACAAAACCAUUUUGUUCUUAUCCUAAUUUGGGCCAAAAUGUAAUAACCUCAACUUUUUGGGCUAUGUUGCAAAACUUAAACUUUUGAGCUCAUUUUGUAAAAACACAAAAGUACACUACUUCAUGUAAUCACAACUAGAACCCAAAAAUUUCAACAAAUUGAAAAACAUCAUUAAAGGAACAAAACAAUUUGUCCUUUAAUGAUUUUGGGCCUUUACGUAAAUACGUAAACUUUUGGGCCAAAGUUGCAAAUACACAAAAGUACCAAAACUUUAUGUAAUUGCAUAAAAGCCCCAAAAGCACCCCACUUGUAGGGUGGCCAGUUUUAGAUAGAGUGAGGAAUGCAAAAUUUUGAAAUUUCUCAACAAAGUCAUAAAGCCAUGCAAGUGGUGUGUGUGACAUAAAUUCAUGCAAG
rnacentral:lncRNA from 1 species